AAACCAACAGGGAUUGCCUCAGUAACGGCGAGUGAAGCGGCAACAGCUCAAAUUUGAAAUCUGGCCUCUUUGGGGUCCGAGUUGUAAUUUGUAGAGGAUGUUUCGGGUACCGCCUCGGUCUAAAUUUCUUGGAACAGAAUGUCAAAGAGGGUGAGAAUCCCGUCUUGGACCGGCGGUAGGGCCCAUGUGAAACUCCUUCGACGAGUCGAGUUGUUUGGGAAUGCAGCUCAAAAUGGGUGGUAAAUUUCAUCUAAAGCUAAAUAUUGGCCAGAGACCGAUAGCGCACAAGUAGAGUGAUCGAAAGAUGAAAAGAACUUUGAAAAGAGAGUUAAACAGUAUGUGAAAUUGUUGAAAGGGAAGCGCUUGCAACCAGACUUGAGCGCGGCGGUUCCCCCUUCCUUCUGGUUGGGUUACUCCGCCGUGUCCAGGCCAACAUCGGUUCUGGGGGUCGGUUAAAGGCUUGGGGAAUGUAUCUACUCCUUCGGGGGUAGACUUAUAGCCCCAGGUGUCAUGCGACCUCCCGGGACCGAGGAACGCGCUUCGGCUCGGAUGUUGGCGUAAUGGUUGUCAGCGAC
rnacentral:rRNA from 1 species